AGACCCGAAACCCGGUGAUCUAGCCAUGGGCAGGUUGAAGGUUGGGUAACACUAACUGGAGGACCGAACCGACUAAUGUUGAAAAAUUAGCGGAUGACCUGUGGCUGGGGGUGAAAGGCCAAUCAAACCGGGAGAUAGCUGGUUCUCCCCGAAAGCUAUUUAGGUAGCGCCUCGUGAAUUCAUCUCCGGGGGUAGAGCACUGUUUCGGCUAGGGGGCCAUCCCGGCUUACCAACCCGAUGCAAACUGCGAAUACCGGAGAAUGUUAUCACGGGAGACACACGGCGGGUGCUAACGUCCGUCGUGAAGAGGGAAACAACCCAGACCGCCAGCUAAGGUCCCAAAGUCAUGGUUAAGUGGGAAACGAUGUGGGAAGGCCCAGACAGCCAGGAUGUUGGCUUAGAAGCAGCCAUCAUUUAAAGAAAGCGUAAUAGCUCACUGGUCGAGUCGGCCUGCGCGGAAGAUGUAACGGGGCUAAACCAUGCACCGAAGCUGCGGCAGCGAACGUAUCACUUAAAGCGAUUCAGCGGAUGACGAUUGACGGAGCGAAGCGACGUCAAAGCGUAUACAAAGUCGAGUCGGUUUAAGGAUACGUUCGUUGGGUAGGGGAGCGUUCUGUAAGCCUGUGAAGGUGGCCUGUGAGGGUUGCUGGAGGUAUCAGAAGUGCGAAUGCUGACAUAAGUAACGAUAAAGCGGGUGAAAAGCCCGCUCGCCGGAAGACCAAGGGUUCCUGUCCAACGUUAAUCGGGGCAGGGUGAGUCGACCCCUAAGGCGAGGCCGAAAGGCGUAGUCGAUGGGAAACGGGUUAAUAUUCCCGUACUUGGUGUUACUGCGAAGGGGGGACGGAGAAGGCUAUGUUGGCCGGGCGACGGUUGUCCCGGUUUAAGCGUGUAGGCUGGUUUUCCAGGCAAAUCCGGAAAAUCAAGGCUGAGGCGUGAUGACGAGGCACUACGGUGCUGAAGCAACAAAUGCCCUGCUUCCAGGAAAAGCCUCUAAGCAUCAGGUAACAUCAAAUCGUACCCCAAACCGACACAGGUGGUCAGGUAGAGAAUACCAAGGCGCUUGAGAGAACUCGGGUGAAGGAACUAGGCAAAAUGGUGCCGUAACUUCGGGAGAAGGCACGCUGACACGUAGGUGAAGU
rnacentral:rRNA from 1 species